rnacentral:rRNA from 1 species
UACGUAGGGGGCAAGCGUUGUCCGGAAUUAUUGGGCGUAAAGCGUGCGUAGGCGGCGAUUUAAGUCUGGUGUUAAAGCUAGGGGCUCAACCCCUGUGAUGCACUGGAAACUGGGUCGCUUGAGUGUGGUAGGGGAAGGUGGAAUUCCGAGUGUAGCGGUGAAAUGCGUAGAUAUUCGGAAGAACACCGGUGGCGAAGGCGACCUUCUGGGCCACUACUGACGCUGAGGCACGAAAGCGUGGGGAGCAAACGGG